rnacentral:rRNA from 1 species
AACAAACGCUGGCGGCGUGCCUAACACAUGCAAGUCGUACGAGAAAGUCGGCUUCGGCCGAUGAGUACAGUGGCGCACGGGUGAGUAGCGCGUGGGUAAUCUGCCCCCCGGUCAGGAAUAACCCGCCGAAAGGCGGGCUAAUACCCGAUAACACUGACGCUCCGCGGAGCGUCUUUCAAAGAAGGCCUCUGUUUACAAGCUUUCGCCGGAGGAUGAGCCCGCGUACCAUUAGCUAGUUGGCAGGGUAAUGGCCUACCAAGGCUACGAUGGUUAGCUGGUCUGAGAGGAUGGCCAGCCACACUGGAACUGAGACACGGACCAGACUCCUACGGGAGGCAGCAGUGAGGAAUAUUGGUCAAUGGGCGCAAGCCUGAACCAGCCAUCCCGCGUGCAGGAAGACGGCGCUAUGCGUUGUAAACUGCUUUUCCAGGGAGAGAAACUUGCGCACGUGUUGCGCAAUUGACGGUACCCUGGGAAUAAGCAUCGGCUAACUCCGUCG